GGUCGAUUAGCUCAGCUGGUUAGAGCGUCGUACUAAUACUUCCUUGAAUAAGGAAAUAUGUGUAAUGCGAAGGUCGCGGGUUCGAUCCCCUCAUUGACCA